rnacentral:rRNA from 1 species
GUGCCAGCAGCCGCGGUAAGACGGAGGGGGCAAGCGUUGUUCGGAAUUAUUGGGCGUAAAGGGCUCGUAGGCGGAAUGGCAAGUCUGGCGUGAAAUCUCCACCGCUCACCGGGGAGGGGCCGCUGGAAACUACCAUCCUGGAGUUCGGCAGAGGACCAUGGAAUUCCUGGUGUAGCGGUGGAAUGCGUAGAUAUCAGGAAGAACACCGGUGGCGAAGGCGGUGGUCUGGGCCGAAACUGACGCUGAGGAGCGAAAGCCAGGGGAGCAAACGGGAUUAGAUACCCCGGUAGUCCUGGCCGUAAACGUUGGAUACUAGGUGUGAGGGGUAUCGACCCCCCUUGUGCCGAAGUUAACACAUUAAGUAUCCCGCCUGGGAAGUACGGCCGCAAGGUUGAA